rnacentral:rRNA from 1 species
UACGGGAGGCAGCAGUGGGGAAUAUUGGACAAUGGGCGAAAGCCUGAUCCAGCCAUGCCGCGUGUGUGAAGAAGGUCUUCGGAUUGUAAAGCACUUUAAGUUGGAAGGAAGGGCAGUAACCUAAUACGUUAUUGUUUUGACGUUACCGACAGAAUAAGCACCGGCUAACUCUGUGCCAGCAGCCGCGGUAA